GGUGAGAUGGCCGAGUGGUUAUGGCGCUGCGUUCAGGUUCCCAACUUGGAUUAUGAAUAGUUAAAAUAUUCGCAGUGGAGCAAUCCGCGUGGGUUCGAGUCCCACUCUCAUCA